ACACAAUGUUUGAGAAGUAGAGGGCCGAAAAUGUUAAACAUGAAUAUGGAUACGUUAGGUAAACUCGCUGCUCCAGCUACAGCAAAGAUUCGGCAGCUUCAGAAGAUUGUUCAAGACAUCAAGAAAAAUGAUGGCAGCUUACUGAACAAACUAAGAAGAUUGAAAAGUAAACCGGUUCCAAAAGUACCUGCGAGGGAUUACAGAG